UAGAGAGAAACAAUCCAAGCAGUAGCAAAAGCUGAGUGGAAGAAGCCUCCUGGAGCAGGCUUGCUUCCUAUGUAGGUAAUUAGAAAGCAAUAGCUCAAUUAACAAAGCAGGAAAGAAGUGGCUGGAAGGCCUUUCAGUCUGAUACCAGCAGCUUGCUGGCUUGGACAAGCCUCAACCAGAGAUUUUUGAAUAUCAAAGGAUUUCCUGAGAGAAUACAAGAGAGACCAGAAGAUGAAGCAGAGGAGACCCUUGAGUAUAUUUGAUGAAAAUCAUUGACCUGUUCUAUAUGAGAUCCUCAAGGACAGGGGCAGGUUUUGAUUUUGUCUUUCUAUCUCCAGAAUCUGGUACACGAUAAGAAUGUACUGAGCUGAAGCUGUUAUUGGAUGAAGAUGAUGAAGAUAUGAUGAUGAUGAUGAUGACAUCAUAGGCUUCUGCUUCCCAUCAGUUUUGUGUAUGCAAUUGUAAAAAGUAAUGAGACUGGAAGAUAUAUUACCAGGUGACAUGAGGCAUUAUCCUUGUUGAAGAUAUUGUUGGAGCAAGUUGUGGUAUAUGAAUGUAAUGGAAUACUGUUGUGCUAUAAGAAAUGAUGAACAGGCAGACUUCAAAAA